CCUACGGGGGGCUGCAGUGGGGAAUCUUGCACAAUGGGGGAAACCCUGAUGCAGCGACGCCGCGUGAGCGAUGAAGCCCUUCGGGGUGUAAAGCUCUUUCGGCAGGAACGAUAAUGACGGUACCUGCAGAAGAAGCUGCGGCUAACUACGUGCCAGCAGCCGCGGUAAUACGUAGGCAGCAAGCGUUGUUCGGAGUUACUGGGCGUAAAGAGUGCGUAGGCGGUCCUCUAAGUUCGGUGUGAAAUCUCCCGGCUCAACUGGGAGGGUGCGCCGGAAACUGGAGGGCUUGAGUAUGGGAGAGGAAAGCGGAAUUCCGGGUGUAGCGGUGAAAUGCGUAGAUAUCAGGAGGAACACCUGUGGUGUAGACGGCUUUCUGGACCAUGACUGACGCUGAGGCACGAAAGCGUGGGGAGCAAACAGGAUUAGAUACCCUAGUAGUC
rnacentral:rRNA from 1 species